AAACUGGUGGCCGCGUCUCGCGAGAGUUGCUUUUGCGCGCGAACUGUAAGUGCCAGGGUCUCAGGGUCAGGUCGCGGCUGGUCACUGUGCAGGCGCUUGGGUGACGCGACGAUCUCAGCGGAUCUGAUCACCUUUGUCUCCCCGCCAUGGAGACCUCAGCGCUCAAGCAGCAGGAGCAGCCCGCGGCGACCAAGAUCAGAAACCUGCCCUGGGUUGAAAAAUACCGGCCACAGACCCUGAAUGAUCUCAUUUCUCAUCAGGACAUUCUGAGUACCAUUCAGAAGUUUAUCAGUGAAGACCGACUGCCACACUUGCUUCUCUACGGUCCCCCAGGGACAGGCAAGACAUCUACCAUCCUAGCCUGUGCGAAACAGCUAUAUAAAGACAAAGAAUUUGGUUCCAUGGUCUUGGAGCUGAAUGCUUCAGAUGACCGAGGAAUAGACAUCGUUCGAGGACCGAUCCUGAGCUUUGCUAGCACAAGGACAAUAUUUAAGAAAGGCUUUAAGCUAGUGAUCUUGGAUGAAGCAGACGCCAUGACUCAGGACGCCCAGAAUGCCUUGAGAAGAGUAAUUGAGAAAUUCACAGAAAAUACCAGAUUCUGCCUCAUCUGUAACUAUCUGUCAAAGAUCAUCCCUGCCUUGCAGUCCCGCUGCACAAGGUUUCGGUUCGGUCCCCUGACUCCUGAACUCAUGGUUCCCCGCCUGGAACAUGUCGUGGAAGAAGAGAAAGUUGAUAUAAGUGAAGAUGGAAUGAAAGCACUAGUCACUCUUUCCAGCGGAGACAUGCGCAGGGCUCUGAACAUUUUGCAGAGCACCAAUAUGGCCUUUGGGAAGGUGACAGAGGAGACUGUCUACACCUGCACCGGGCACCCGCUCAAGUCAGACAUUGCCAACAUCCUGGACUGGAUGUUGAAUCAAGAUUUCACCACAGCCUACAGAAAUAUUACAGAGUUGAAAACUCUGAAGGGGUUGGCACUGCAUGAUAUCCUGACAGAGAUACACUUGUUUGUGCAUAGAGUUGACUUUCCAUCUUCAGUUCGAAUACAUUUAUUGACCAAAAUGGCAGACAUUGAGUACAGGCUUUCUGUUGGCACCAACGAGAAGAUCCAGCUGAGCUCCCUCAUUGCUGCAUUUCAAGUCACCAGAGACCUGAUUGUUGCAGAGGCGUAGAUGCUCCGAGGGCCGUUCACAAUUCUCAGGGCUCAGCAGUGACGGGAGAACAGAGGACAGUUCCAGGAUAAACUGCUGCCUGGGGCUGUGGGAUGAACCAGUCACCCCAAAUCUUGGAAAAACUCCCUUCCAGGAGAGGAUGGGCAGGCAUUUAAAAAGUACCAUUUUUGUGGUUGUUUGGAGCAGGGAUGUACAAAAUAAUUUUAAUGUGUAACUCAUACUGCCUGUCUUUUAUAGGGGAAAAAAUAACCUUUUUUAUUUUAAAGUUAUAAGGUUUUUACCUUUUAGUUGCUUGGAUGACAGGGAAUUAGCCUACCCCAUUUUGGUCUGGAACAGAAGACUUUCAAAUUUAAUCUGGUCCAAGUGUCUUCCUACUCAAGGCAAGAUCAUGCUCUGUCACCUAGGCUGGAAUACCAUGACACGAUCAUGGCUCGCUACAGCCUCCAUGUCCCAGGCUCGAGCAGUUCUCCCACCUCAGCCUCCUGAGUAGCCGGAACCACAGAACCACAGGUAAAUGCCUCCACAUCCUCAGCCCCCUGAGUAGCUGGGGCUACCGUGCACACCAGCACCACACUAAGUUUUUUGGCUAUUUUUUUUUUUUUUAAAUAAAGAUGGGGGUCUUAUCUCAUUCUGUUGCCCAGGCUGAUCUUGAACUCCUGGGCUCAAGCAGUCCUCCCACCUCAGCCUCCCAAAGUGCUGGGAUUACAGGCAUGUGCCGUCACACCCAGCCCUGCUUGUUUUAAAAGGGGACUUUUUUUUUUCUUAAUGGAAAAAAAUGAAACAGAGAGCCAAAAGCUUUUAACUGUUUUUUUUUUCUUUCCUUCAAUGAAAGCCUCUCAUUUUGAAAAGACAUGUUUUUCUUCAAGCAACAAAGGUGGUAGAGGAAAUUCCUCAACUUUCUCAAUGAGUCAUGUAACAUUACACUGGCCUCCAUAAAGCACCGAUUAAGAAAGCUAAAGAAUAAGAUGUUGUAUUUCUUUUAAAAUAAUUUAAAAUAUAUUAAAUUUUCCUAAGGCA